UUCUUAUCAUAAGCUGCCAACAAAUAUUAUGGCCGAGGAUAGUGAACUUAAGUCAACAUCAUAUAUGCAAGGCUAAAAAAUAUGCAAUGUACCCAUUGACAUUCGAUUAGUUUACAUACAGAGAUCAAAUAGAUUCUAUCAUCAUAAUCCUACAUAAACAAAAGUUCAUAUCAUAACUAAUCAAGUGGAACCCUUCCUCUAUGCAUUCCACUUUCGGCUGCCUUCUGCCUUGCAUAUCGUCACAUUCAUUGAAAUUCGAAGGUCUACUUCAUCAUUGAGGCCAACAUCUAGGCAACAUUGAACCAUCGACUCACCAAAGUCGAUGACCAGUAACUCCAAACCUGAAGAAGUAAAAUGUAUACUAGCAGGUUGAAAAGAAAAAUGAUAAACAAAACAAGAGGAACUACCAAUUGCAGAAAAUAAAUCAUUUUCUGUUCUCCUCAAAGGAAAUUAACAAGGUAGUCUUCUUAUGUUCUACUAUUUAAUGGCUCAUGCUCAGUUUCUGUGGGCGAUAUAUAGCAUUGAAACAUCAAAAAUAGCCAGAAAGCCGAAAUUUUAGCUUUGGAUUUGUCAUAUUCGUCAAGGCCAAAUGAGGCUCCUCAACAAAAGAAGUAGAUGUACCCCAACAAAAUUCCAUGAACUCAAGAUGUAAGAACGUACUAUUUUUAAGAAUCUGCAAGAUAGUACUGCUGUAAAGAUAAGAAUUAUACAGGAAUCAGCUGGUGGCCUUGUAACAUCUAAGGCAGAAAUUUCACCGACUUCCAGCAUGAAAGUUAAAUAGAUAAACUCUGGUGUGGAAGGGAUCUUGAUUAUUGGGGGAAAGUGCAGUCGAAAACCAUUGCUGGAAGUGCAAUCGAGUUCCUUGGGUGAAACCUACUGUGUGGGCGAUGGGUGAAUUGGGGGAAAAUUGGAUGACAUGCGGUCAAAUGCAUCAAUUAAUUGGUCCUUUUUUGCGUCUUUUUUUUUUUCGCCACGUCAGCCGGGAUUUUGCCUGGAAUACUUCUGGCCGUGUAGCGGAACAGGGCGGAAAAAGGAUAAGGGAUUCUGU
rnacentral:lncRNA from 1 species